CAGCCGCCGCGGUAAUACCGGCGGCCCGAGUGGCGGUCACUAUUAUUGGGCUUAAAGCGUCCGUAGCCGGGUUGGGAAGUCCUCCGGGAAAUCUGGCCGCUUAACGGUCAGAAUGCCGGAGGAUACUCCCAGCCUAGGGAGCGGGAGAGGCCGAGGGUAUUCCCGGAGUAGGGGUGAAAUCCUAUAAUCCCGGGAGGACCACCUGUGGCGAAGGCGCUCGGCUGGAACGCGUCCGACGGUGAGGGACGAAGGCCAGGGGAGCAAACCGGAUUAGAUACCCGGGUAGUCCCGGCUGUAAACGAUGCGGGCUAGCUGUUGGGUGGGCUUAGAGCCCACCCAGUGGCGCAGGGAAGCCGUUAAGCCCGCCGCCUGGGGAGUACGGCCGCAAGGCUGAAACUUAAAGGAAUUGGCGGG
rnacentral:rRNA from 1 species